rnacentral:rRNA from 1 species
UAUCAAGAGAGGUAGAGACUAGAGAGACAUACAGGUGGCAGGGAAGGCGCGCGCUUCCUCCUGCCGCCGCGAACAAAAUUCCUUGCUUCCCCGGCGGCAGCUCGAAUCGGAAUACCCAUUUGUCCAUCCUCGCAAGCACCCUUCCACCUCCUCUUCUUCCAAUGGCGUAUAAAUCGUGUCCGAGCCCAUCAGCCCACCGUGCCCCCCACCAUCACGUUUGUGGCGAUGGCGACGGCGACGGCCUCGAGGUCGACGGUGGUGAGGCGGAGGCGGAACGCGCUGGCACAGACGCUGGCGUCGCGGAGGCUUCCGGAGGGCGUGGCGGAGCCCGGGGAGCGGGUGCCCGAAGCCUUGGCCCCAGAGGUGAUGCCAUUCAUCCGCGCAGCCGACGAGGUCGAGCUGCUCAACUCGCGGGUCGCGUUCCUCUGUCGCAGAUAUGCCUACAAGAAAGUUCAAAGAAUGGAUCCAUCAUCCAUCCAACGUGGGGUUCGGCAGUUCAAAACAUACAUGUCACUUAAGCUAGAUCAGGAUGACAUGCAAUUUCCUUUAAAUGAUUCAAAGGAGAUCCAACGAUUUUAUAAGUACUACUGUGAAAAUUUGAGCAGAACCUCUGAAAAACAGAACUUUGAGGAAUUGGCUAGAUAUUACCAAGUGGCGUCUGCUCUUUAUGAAGUGUUAAGAGAUGUAACAAACAACAAGGUUGAUUCUGAGGUGAUGAAACGUGCUAAAGUAGUAGAGGAAAAGAGUGCUCAUUUCAAGAGUUACAAGUACAACAUAGUCCCCCUCAAUUUUCCUGGUUCUGCAGAAGCAGUUGUGGAACUCCCGGAGAUAAAAAGUGCUAUAGAUGUAAUACGUAACAUAGACGGUCUUCCAAAGCUACAGAUGUCUUCAAUGCAAAGGGAAGGAAAACCUAUCUGGGAUUUACUUGACUGGCUUUCGCUAGCAUUUGGAUUUCAGAAAUCGAAUGUGGAAAAUCAGAGAGAAAAUAUGGUGUUACUGCUUGCAAAUAUUAGCACAAGGACCUCAGGACAGGAAGGGCAUCCUUUGGUCGACACUGUGAAUGAUUUGUGGGACAAAAUAUUUGGAAAUUAUGGAUCAUGGUGUCACUAUUUGCAUGUUAGUUCAAGAAUCAUGAUCAAAUAUGAUGACACAGAACUAAAGAAGCAGCAGCUAAUGCUUCUCCACAUUGGAUUGUACCUUCUUAUCUGGGGUGAGGCUUCAAAUGUCCGGUUUAUGCCUGAGUGCUUAUUCUACAUAUUCCACCAUAUGGUAAAACAGUUGAAUCAAAUGGUUGAAGAAAGUUAUUUUCAACCACCACCUGGGUUUGAAGAGGAGGGAUCAUUCCUAAACAUUGUCAUUGAACCUAUCUAUAAGGUUCUGCAGAAGGAAUCACAAAGAAGUAAAGGUGGUACAGCUGGCCACUCAGCUUGGAGAAAUUAUGAUGACUUGAAUGAACAAUUCUGGUCAGAGAAAUGUUUUAUGAAGCUUGGCUGGCCAUGGGAUCUCAGUGCAGACUUCUUUCAUCAAGAGGUAUGUCAUAACUGUGCUUAAUUUGAUACAUCAGCCAGGGCAACUGCCUAUUUAAAUGGCUAGAGUACGAUUGUCUUACUGGGGAGUUUACUGUCGAGUGUUUGAUUAACCACAUUAUGGCUUCACCUUGAAUGAGUAAGGUUUUUUGUGAUGUCAACUUAGUGCUCAUAAGGUCGUGGCAGAUCCAGGGUUUUAUGGGUGAGACUUGGGGCUUACAACUAUUUAGUUACAUUAUGCGCACUAUUUCAGUUGAACUGUUUCUCAUUGCAAGGAUCGCAACAACAGUAACAGAGAGGAUCAUCAGAAGGAAUCUUCAGGAUCUGGUGAGGAUGGCUCCGCUCCGCUCCCUCCCUGCUCCUCCUAGCCCACCCACCCCCAAGCCCCUCCGCCGCCGGUGAGCCCCUGCCGGUUGCCUCCCCUCCUUGCUCCCGCUCCCUGCCAUGGCGGCCUCCAGUGCUGACCCUGUCGAGCCCCGAGGGACCCUCUCCGGCGAUCGCGUGUCCUCUGGUGACUGCUGGUUCGAUUCGGAGAGCGAGUCCUCGACGCGCUCGUACAUCGACGUCGCACGCACCCCGCCGGCCACUCCCGCGCCGCCCGCGCCCCCAGCUCUCGCUCGCGCCGUCGUCGCCGCUCCACGGCAGCCCGCUGCGAGCCGCCUCGGCCCCCGCUCCGAGGUGCACCAUGCUCCGGGUGGUGUUCAGGUGGAUGCUGACGGCUUCCAGCAGCCUCGACGCUGGAACCGCCGUCGUCGCCCGCGCGCCAGGAUGGCGAGACCUCCUCCCCGCAGCCCCGGCGCCGCAGCCCAUCCCCGGAGGAGGUUGCCGGGCUCUGCUUCCGCUGCCUGGACCCUCGCCACCGCGUGCGCGACUGCACCAACGAGGUCCGAUGCCGUCGCUGCUUGCUGUCAGGCCAUGACUCGCGCUCCUGCACCCCCCAGCGUCGGGAGGCCGCACGGCAAGCUCGCGCCACCCUUGUCGGCCGCGCGGACCAGGCUGCGGGAGCGCGCGCCACCUAGGCACCGCCGCCGCAUCCUCCCGCGGCUUCGGUGAUCAUCGCGCCUGCGGCACACGCACCCGCGCCAGUGAGAGUCAUCAUGUCGCACUCUGUCGAGAUGGAGGAGGCCGAGGAGGUUCUAGCGCGCGCGAUGGUGGCCUCCAUCACCGGCAACCGGCCGCAAGUGUUUGCCGCCGAGGUCUCUGACUUGCUCAUCAGUUCCCUCAAGCUUGCGGAUGGUGAUUUCUCGGUCCAUACCCAUCACCCUGAGGAUUUCCUGAUUCUCUUCAACUCCCGACCCACCAUGCGUCGCCUGAACGGUGACCACUUCAUCAACUCCCCGCGGUUCUCCCUCUCUGUUCGCCCCUGGAGCAAGCUCGCUCAUGCGGGUGCCGGCGAGUUCGAGUAUCACGUUGAGCUGGAGCUCCGUGGCAUUCCCGCCCAGGCAUGGCAUCUUUCGACUGCUGGCAAACUCCUGAAUAGUUUGACACGGAAUUGGUACAACCAGUCAGUAUAUAAUUUUGCAAUCGUCAUUUAUAUGAUUCCGAACAUUUUGGCUGCCUUGCUUUUCUUGUUGCCACAACUUCAAAAUAUAAUGGAACACUCAAAUUGGCGUGCAGUUAUUCUUCUUAUGUGGUGGAUUCAGCCAAGAUUGUAUGUUGCACGUGGUAUGCAUGAGGACAUAUUGUCCAUUUUUAAGUAUGUCUUCUUUUGGGUCGUGUUGCUCACCUCCAAGCUUGCAUUUAGUUUCUAUGUUGAGUGGUCACUGUAAUAAUACUGAGGCAAAUCUACAACUAGGCCCCCACCCAACAGUCAUACAUUAGCUAUUCUCACAAACAAUAAAUAAAUACAUUGUGUAUUAAGAUGUUUCAGUCCUUCUACUGAUAUUUUGUUUACUUCCCAGAACCAAAUCAUGAUCCGGUUAUUCAGGUUUAUUUUAUUACCUUUGUAUUUUGAUAAGCCACUACAUUUAAUUUCUGAUGUGAAUGCCUUUAUGUGGUAGCUGAAUGAGUGUUCUCUUUUUUCUGCCUCUGACUUGAAGGAAUAUAUUUUUUAAUAUAUCGAUGCUCAUCAUUGCCAUGUCUGGCUGUCUGGUUCAUGCUACACAGAAGCUUAGAUCUGUAAUCAAGCUAUGGAAGAGAGUACUGUAAGAGACACUUCUAUAAGCAGAGAUAUGUGCCUGAAUUUACACCUUAAUUAUACCUCAAUUAGUUGAAGAGCUCUCCUGGCUUAAGAUCUUUCUAGGAUAAUUGCGUUGUUAAAUCUGAAGGAUUCACUCAUGUGCCAAAGCCAGCUCGGGGAAGCCUUCCUGAACUCCUGGUCGACCACGACAACCACGACACGAUCUUAAGCAAGCGGAACACCGAAGGAGGAUCUUGGGGAUGACGGAGGCGUCGAUGACAACCUCAAAGGCGAGAGGAUGAGACGCUUUGAGGCGCUGCAGCAAUACAAGUGCGCACAACUUCAUGUCAAGAGGCGCGCCAUGGGCGCACCCCAGCCCCUAGUGUGGGUUUUCAAGCGGUGGCUGAUGUGGAUCACACCAUCAAGCAUUCAGUUCAUGCUGUCAUGUUGACUGGAUGGGCAGGACACUGAGCUCUCAUCACUAUCUCAUGCCUGCCGCACAAUCUCGGUGUGGUCAUUACUAUAUGGGCACCAAUUGUUUUGGUGUACUUUAUGGACACACAAAUAUGGUAUGCUAUUUUCUCCACUGUCUUUGGGGGUGUUUCGGGUGCCCUUAGUCAUGUCGGUGAGAUACGUACCCUAGGCAUGUUGAGAGUCAGAUUCAAAUCAAUGCCAGAUGCUUUCAGGAAAUGUCACGUGGCAGCACAUAAAGAGCAAGCACUUGAUGUGAGGAGCUUCUUUUGUGUUUGGAAUUCAUUCAUCAAUUCCUUACGAGAGGAAGACUUCAUUAGUGAUAGAGAGAAGGACAUGUUGAUGGCUCCAUCGUCUUCAAGUAAUUUACCUAUUGUUCCGUGGCCUCCUUUCCUCCUUGCUAGCAAGGUACCAACAGCUCUCCAUAUGGCCAUGACUUCCAAAGAGGGGGAUGAACAUGAGCUGAUCGAAAAAAUCAAACUAGACAAGGACAGAUACAAUGCAGUUAUAGAAUGCUACGAGUCCUUGAAAAUAAUAGUUGUUUGUCUUCUGCUAGACUAUAAUGAUAAAAGAAUUGUCCAUGAUAUCGAUAAAAUAGUGCGAACUAGUAUGCAAAAUAACACACUUUUGGACGACCUCGAGAUGGCAGAGAUUGGUAAAGUCAGCAACACAUUGGCAAAAUUAUUACAGCUACUGUGUUUUGACUCCAUAUUACAAUGAGGAAGUACUUUAUUCAUCUCAUCAACUAAAUAGAAAGAAUGAAGACGGUAUCUCGAUUUUGUUUUAUCUACAAAAGAUUUAUCCAGAUGAAUGGAAGAACUUUCUACAACGCAUUGGAGUUGAUCCAGAUAACGAAGAUGAAGUAAAGGGAUGCAUGGAUGAUAUCCGUAUAUGGGCGUCUUACCGGGGUCAAACACUUGCCAGAACUGGGUACGAUUCCACUAUGGUCACCCUGAUGUUUUCGAUAGAAUCUUUCACAUCACAAGGGGUGGCAUAAGCAAGGCCUCAAAGGUUAUUAACCUCAGUGAGGACAUCUUUGCAGGAUUCAAUUCAACCCUGCGACAAGGAACUGUUACCCAUCAUGAAUACAUACAGUUGGGUAAAGGACGUGAUGUUGGAAUGAACCAAAUAUCCAACUUUGAGGCCAAGGUGGCAAACGGUAAUGGUGAACAAACUCUAUGUCGUGAUGUUUACCGACUAGGACACAGAUUCGAUUUCUACAGGAUGUUGUCUAUGUACUUCACCACAGUUGGCCUCUACUUCAAUAGCAUGGUGGCUGUUCUUACGGUGUAUGUAUUUUUAUAUGGGCGGUUGUAUCUUGUUUUGAGUGGCCUAGAAAAGUCGAUUCUCCAUGAUCCACGGAUUAAAAACAUCAAACCCUUUGAAAAUGCACUUGCCACCCAAUCGGUAUUCCAACUUGGGACGUUGCUCAUCCUCCCGAUGAUAAUGGAGGUCGGCUUGGAGAAAGGGUUUGGUAAAGCCCUGGCUGAGUUUAUAAUCAUGCAACUUCAGUUAGCUCCUAUGUUCUUCACUUUUCAUCUCGGGACAAAGACUCACUACUAUGGAAGGACUAUACUUCAUGGUGGUGCAAAAUAUAGAGGAACAGGCCGGGGUUUUGUUGUACGCCAUGCGAAAUUUGCUGAGAAUUACAGAAUGUACUCACGGAGCCACUUUGUGAAAGCAUUGGAGCUGCUCAUCCUCUUGGUUGUUUAUCUAGCAUACGGGAGUUCUUACAGGAGCUCGAGUUUGUAUGUAUACGUCACAAUUUCGAUGUGGUUCCUUGUUUUCUGCUGGCUGUUUGCACCUUUUAUCUUCAACCCAUCAUGCUUUGAGUGGCACAAGACGGUUGAUGACUGGACUGAUUGGUGGAAGUGGAUGAGCAAUAGGGGUGGUAUUGGGCUGGCACCUGAGCAAAGUUGGGAGGCUUGGUGGGUGAGUGAACAUGAGCACCUAAAGAAUGGAACAAUACGUAGCUUGCUCUUGGAGCUGGUUCUGUCGCUGCGCCUCCUGAUCUACCAAUAUGGUAUUGUGUACCACUUGCACAUAGUGCACGAGAACAAAAGCUUCAUGAUAUAUGCACUAUCGUGGCUGGUUAUUGGCAUCGUUCUUGUUUUGCUAAAGGUUGUUUCACUGGGGAGAGAGAAGUUUGUUACCAAGUUUCAGCUUGUGUUCCGUAUACUCAAGGGCAUUGUGUUUCUUGUCCUCAUCGGCUUGAUGGUGGUCUUAUUUGUUGGUUUUGAUCUCGCUGUGUCAGACGUUGGCGCCAGUGUCUUGGCCUUCAUCCCAACUGUCUGGUUUAUUCUUUUGAUGGCACAAGUGUGUGGACCGCUGUUUCGGAGGUUAGUGAUUGAGCCACUUGGCGUGCUGUGUUGCUCCUGCUGCCCUGGUGGAGCAUGCCGAGGGCCUUGCUGCGCCAAGUUGAGGCAGAGUGGGGCUGUGCUCUGUAAGAUAGGGCCAUGGGACUCCAUCCAAGAGAUGGCAAGGAUGUACGAGUAUACCAUGGGGAUCCUCAUCUUCCUGCCCAUCGCCGUCCUCUCGUGGUUCCCCUUCAUGUCAGAGUUCCAGACGCGUCUGCUCUUCAACCAAGCCUUCAGCCGGGGCCUGCAGAUCUCGAGGAUCCUCGCUUACCAAGCGUGAAUGACUUUGCUUGCUUGCAAACUACCCUGCUCUGUCUGUAGCGUGCAUAUUCACGGCGUUAUUAUAUUGUAUUGUUGAUUUGGAACUUUGGAAGGAUGCAUUGGAGCAAUAUCUGAUUUGUUCUCACCGUUGAACCAAAACUAAAAGAAAGCUACACAUUUGCUUUUCCAUUACACCUUUUCUUGGAGUUUACAAUUAAUCAUCUAAUAUU